AAUAGAUACCCUGGUAGUCCACGCCGUAAACGAUGUCGACUUGGAGGUUGUUCCCUUGAGGAGUGGCUUCCGGAGCUAACGCGUUAAGUCGACCGCCUGGGGAGUACGGCCGCAAGGUUAAAACUCAAAUGAAUUGACGGGGGCCCGCACAAGCGGUGGAGCAUGUGGUUUAAUUCGAUGCAACGCGAAGAACCUUACCUACUCUUGACAUCCAGAGAACUUUCCAGAGAUGGAUUGGUGCCUUCGGGAACUCUGAGACAGGUGCUGCAUGGCUGUCGUCAGCUCGUGUUGUGAAAUGUUGGGUUAAGUCCCGCAACGAGCGCAACCCUUAUCCUUUGUUGCCAGCGGUUCGGCCGGGAACUCAAAGGAGACUGCCAGUGAUAAACUGGAGGAAGGUGGGGAUGACGUCAAGUCAUCAUGGCCCUUACGAGUAGGGCUACACACGUGCUACAAUGGCAUAUACAAAGAGAAGCGACCUCGCGAGAGCAAGCGGACCUCAUAAAGUAUGUCGUAGUCCGGAUUGGAGU
rnacentral:rRNA from 1 species